UCUCCUGUAGCUCAGUGGUAAAUCAGAGUAAAGUUUCCGACCGGUGUACAGAAGGUCAUAGCAUGUCAUAGGUUCGACUCCUGUUGGGGGAA